UCUUUCUCAUUCAUGUCAUCAACUAGUCUCUUGAUCAGAUUUGUUUUCUUUCUCUGGGUGGCACAUUGAUGAAAAAAAUUUGUGUUUCCAUCCCCUUCUCUUAGUCAUUUUUGUUUGGCCAUUUGUUUCCAUUUGAUGCGAUCUUCUUCAAGUAGCUUCUCUAUCUUCUUUUGCACCUGUUUAAUGGUUUCUGUGAGAUGACCUUCAUUUUCCUUUUGUAGUUCAGAUACCUGGUCCCAAAGUCUCUUGAGCUCUUCCCUGUGGCUUCUAGCAUGUUGAUUGUUCCAUUGGACUAGGUCCAGUUUGUAUUGGUUCAAGCCUUCAAUGACCUGUUGUAACUUGUUAUCAACCCUUCUAGUUUCUCGUAUUUCGCACUUUAUUCUCGUAGAACGCGACGAUCGAGGCCCCCUCGGCAACAAGUUUCCUGCAAGUGCACCUCGGUUAAUUCAAGGGAAAAUUUCUCCAAUCCGAUGGCCCCUACAAAUUGUUGUAACUUAUUUUGAAGAAUAUGAGAACCUCAACAGCCGCAUGACAAAAUUGGAGUCCUAGAGGGAGUCUCAACAGGAGACCUAGGCAGAUGCGUAGGCAUCCUCCAUUAUGCAAGGACCUGGUUGGAGGUGGAAAUUUUUGUCAAGACACAUUUUCUAGUUAAGAGCUAGGUGACAAUAGAUUCUAUGCAAAUGGGAGAAAGAGUAGAGAAGUGGUACAGGUAUGAGUGCCUAAAACUCCAUCAAAGUCUUUCUUCUGGUCCAAAGUAGAUGAAGAUUUCUAAGAUUUCCU